rnacentral:tRNA from 1 species
GCCCCUAUCGACAAGUGGUUUAAGUCGUCACACUUUCGAUGUGAAGUCACGGGUUCGAAUCCCGUUGGGGGUA